rnacentral:rRNA from 1 species
AUGCGCUUUGAAACUUUCAAAGAAGCAAAGGACUUCUACAACGUCUAUGCAAAGCACACGGGUUUUGCUGUCAGGGAAGGCUCUAAGGUUGAGACCAGAGUCUACCUUUAUUGCACGUGCCAUGGAGUGUAUGAAUCGAAGGUGUCAGAAGCAAAUAGACAGCGGAGCAAGACGACAGCCAGGACUAACUGCGGGGCUAAAAUGAGGCUGAAGAGGGAAAAUGAUGGAACACUUGUCGUAAAAGAGAUAGUCUGGGAACACAACCACAUGCUACAGCUCACCCCCCAAAUGCUUGUCUUCUUGCACUCCCACAAAAAGUUUGACAAAGCAAUCUUGGAGUACGUCAAGUACCUGCAGUUCCAAGGCAUUGAACACGCGAAAAUCAUGAGCAUACUGGGCGGCGAUGACCCUGGUAGCUACUUCCUCAAAAUGAAUGCCAAAGACCUGAUUAACCUCAAAGCAAAGAAUUCAAGGAUGGAUGAUGUGGACGAUGUCCUAAAGACUGUCAACUUCUUUAGGGAGAUGAAAGCUAUAAACAGGGAAUUCUUCUGUGACAUGCAACUUGACGCAAGCUGCCGAGGGGCAUAUCAGGACUUUGGUGACUGCGUAACGUUUGACACCACAUAUAAGACCAACAAGUACCAUAUGCCACUUGGGGUGUUUGUGGGUACUAACCACUUACAGACUACAUUCUUUGGUUUUGCCCUGAUAAGAGAUGAGGAUGCAUAUUCAUUCAAAUGGCUGUUCAAGACAUUUUUAAGGUGCAUGAGAGGGAAGGCUCCUACAUGCAUCCUCACAGACCAGUGCCCGGCAAUGGCUUUGGCGAUCCCAUAUGCUUUCAAGAACACAGUACACAAGCUGUGCCACUGGCACAUUAUGAAGAAGUACAGGGAACACCUCGCAUACCUGUACAACCUGCACGAAGACUUUAAGGAUGAAUUCACAUCAAUCCUUAACUGGCCCCUCAUGCCAACUGAGUUUGAGGCUGCCUGGAAAAGACUCAUGAGUAAGUACAACCUUCAUGAUGAUGCCACGAUGGUGGCCAUGUGGAAUGAGCGUGAGAGAUGGAUAUCAGCCUACUACAAAGAAAUUUUCUGCGCCAAAAUGACAUCCACACAACGAAGUGAGAGCAUGAACUAUGUGCUCAAGAGGAACUUCGUAAGUGAGAGACAAAACCUCCACCAGUUUGUCAGCCAGGUAAACUCCUGCGUCAAAACCAGGAGACAAUGGGUAACCGGGUCUCUAUCUAUCACCUGUCUUGAGACAAAAUAA